UACGGAGGGUGCAAGCGUUGUCCGGAAUCACUGGGCGUAAAGGGCGCGUAGGCGGCUCAUGAAGGCUGUGGUGAAAGUCCGGGGCUCAACCUCGGAUCGGCCGUGGCGACUCGUGGGCUGGAGCACUGUAGAGGCGGGUGGAAUUCCGGGUGUAGCGGUGGAAUGCGUAGAGAUCCGGAAGAACACCAGUGGCGAAGGCGGCACUCUGGGACGGUACUGACGCUGAGACGCGAAAGCGUGGGGAGCGAACAGG
rnacentral:rRNA from 1 species